rnacentral:rRNA from 1 species
GAUGAACGCUGGCGGCGUGCCUAAUACAUGCAAGUCGAGCGAACAGACGAGGAGCUUGCUCUUCUGACGUUAGCGGCGGACGGGUGAGUAACACGUGGAUAACCUACCUAUAAGACUGGGAUAACUUCGGGAAACCGGAGCUAAUACCGGAUAAUAUAUUGAACCGCAUGGUUCAAUAGUGAAAGACGGUUUUGCUGUCACUUAUAGAUGGAUCCGCGCCGCAUUAGCUAGUUGGUAAGGUAACGGCUUACCAAGGCAGCGAUGCGUAGCCGACCUGAGAGGGUGAUCGGCCACACUGGAACUGAGACACGGUCCAGACUCCUACGGGAGGCAGCAGUAGGGAAUCUUCCGCAAUGGGCGAAAGCCUGACGGAGCAACGCCGCGUGAGUGAUGAAGGUCUUCGGAUCGUAAAACUCUGUUAUUAGGGAAGAACAAAUGUGUAAGUAACUAUGCACGUCUUGACGGUACCUAAUCAGAAAGCCACGGCUAACUACGUG